rnacentral:rRNA from 1 species
AUGAUUCUUGAUACAAUGAAGACUGAUCACUCAGUGAGGGAAAUGAAUGGAAAAGAUCUUCUACAAUGCAGACAAGAAAAAUUCAGCAUAAGUCAGUGGAAAUUUAUCUCAUCUAACAAAGCAAAUUCAUUAUACUGCUCAGAAGAUCAAGCAAAACUACCACCUGACCCGCUAAUUUCUACACUUGUACCUAGCCAUACCUAUGAACAAGCAGAACAUCAGAGGAACAAGGCUGUUACAACUGAUACCCAAGCUGGAUAUACUUGUUCAAUAGGAAACAAUGUUGAACAUGAUAUUCCCUCUUUCAAUGCUAUAACUGCAGGUCUACAUGAUACACUUCCGCAUCAAAUGACUGGUUGCAAUAACACAAGUCUUUCACUGCCUACUGCUCCCACCUAUAAUGUUAAUUCUACUGGCAACUAUCCAUUGUUGUCCAAUCACAAAACUCCGAUUCUAUAUAGCAAUAGCCCUCUGAGGUCCUUCAACAUCAACUCUAGAUAA